GGGAGUUGGUAGAGCAGUUGACUUUUAAUCAAUUGGUCGCAGGUUCGAAUCCUGCACGACCCACCA
rnacentral:tRNA from 1 species